GCGGGAGUGCCUUCGGGAACCCGGAUACAGGUGCUGCAUGGCUGUCGUCAGCUCGUGUCGUGAGAUGUUGGGUUAAGUCCCGCAACGAGCGCAACCCUUAUCCUCUGUUGCCAGCACUUCGGGUGGGAACUCAGAGGAGACUGCCAGUUAUAAACUGGAGGAAGGCGGGGAUGACGUCAAGUCAUCAUGGCCCUUACGGCCAGGGCUACACACGUGCUACAAUGGGGCGUACAGAGGGAAGCCAAGCCGUGAGGCGGAGCGGAUCUCACAAAGCGUCCCGUAGUUCGGAUUGAAGUCUGCAACUCGGCUUCAUGAAGUCGGAAUCGCUAGUAAUCGCGAAUCAGAAUGUCGCGGUGAAUACGUUCCCGGGUCUUGUACACACCGA
rnacentral:rRNA from 1 species